rnacentral:tRNA from 2 species
GCAGAUGUGGCGGAAUGGCAGACGCGCUAGUUUCAGGUACUAGUGUUCGCAAGGACAUGGGGGUUCAAGUCCCCCCAUCUGCACCA